rnacentral:rRNA from 1 species
GGUUAAGCGACUAAGCGUACACGGUGGAUGCCCUGGCAGUCAGAGGCGAUGAAGGACGUGCUAAUCUGCGAUAAGCGUCGGUAAGGUGAUAUGAACCGUUAUAACCGGCGAUUUCCGAAUGGGGAAACCCAGUGUGAUUCGUCACACUAUCAUUAACUGAAUCCAUAGGUUAAUGAGGCGAACCGGGGGAACUGAAACAUCUAAGUACCCCGAGGAAAAGAAAUCAACCGAGAUUCCCCCAGUAGCGGCGAGCGAACGGGGAGCAGCCCAGAGCCUGAAUCAGUGUGUGUGUUAGUGGAAGCGUCUGGAAAGGCGCGCGAUACAGGGUGACAGCCCCGUACACAAAAAUGCACAUACUGUGAGCUCGAUGAGUAGGGCGGGACACGUGGUAUCCUGUCUGAAUAUGGGGGGACCAUCCUCCAAGGCUAAAUACUCCUGACUGACCGAUAGUGAACCAGUACCGUGAGGGAAAGGCGAAAAGAACCCCGGCGAGGGGAGUGAAAAAGAACCUGAAACCGUGUACGUACAAGCAGUGGGAGCACGCUUAGGCGUGUGACUGCGUACCUUUUGUAUAAUGGGUCAGCGACUUAUAUUCUGUAGCAAGGUUAACCGAAUAGGGGAGCCGAAGGGAAACCGAGUCUUAACUGGGCGUUAAGUUGCAGGGUAUAGACCCGAAACCCGGUGAUCUAGCCAUGGGCAGGUUGAAGGUUGGGUAACACUAACUGGAGGACCGAACCGACUAAUGUUGAAAAAUUAGCGGAUGACUUGUGGCUGGGGGUGAAAGGCCAAUCAAACCGGGAGAUAGCUGGUUCUCCCCGAAAGCUAUUUAGGUAGCGCCUCGUGAAUUCAUCUCCGGGGGUAGAGCACUGUUUCGGCAAGGGGGUCAUCCCGACUUACCAACCCGAUGCAAACUGCGAAUACCGGAGAAUGUUAUCACGGGAGACACACGGCGGGUGCUAACGUCCGUCGUGAAGAGGGAAACAACCCAGACCGCCAGCUAAGGUCCCAAAGUCAUGGUUAAGUGGGAAACGAUGUGGGAAGGCCCAGACAGCCAGGAUGUUGGCUUAGAAGCAGCCAUCAUUUAAAGAAAGCGUAAUAGCUCACUGGUCGAGUCGGCCUGCGCGGAAGAUGUAACGGGGCUAAACCAUGCACCGAAGCUGCGGCAGCGACGCUUAUGCGUUGUUGGGUAGGGGAGCGUUCUGUAAGCCUGCGAAGGUGUGCUGUGAGGCAUGCUGGAGGUAUCAGAAGUGCGAAUGCUGACAUAAGUAACGAUAAAGCGGGUGAAAAGCCCGCUCGCCGGAAGACCAAGGGUUCCUGUCCAACGUUAAUCGGGGCAGGGUGAGUCGACCCCUAAGGCGAGGCCGAAAGGCGUAGUCGAUGGGAAACAGGUUAAUAUUCCUGUACUUGGUGUUACUGCGAAGGGGGGACGGAGAAGGCUAUGUUGGCCGGGCGACGGUUGUCCCGGUUUAAGCGUGUAGGCUGGUUUUCCAGGCAAAUCCGGAAAAUCAAGGCUGAGGCGUGAUGACGAGGCACUACGGUGCUGAAGCAACAAAUGCCCUGCUUCCAGGAAAAGCCUCUAAGCAUCAGGUAACAUCAAAUCGUACCCCAAACCGACACAGGUGGUCAGGUAGAGAAUACCAAGGCGCUUGAGAGAACUCGGGUGAAGGAACUAGGCAAAAUGGUGCCGUAACUUCGGGAGAAGGCACGCUGAUAUGUAGGUGAAGUCCCUCGCGGAUGGAGCUGAAAUCAGUCGAAGAUACCAGCUGGCUGCAACUGUUUAUUAAAAACACAGCACUGUGCAAACACGAAAGUGGACGUAUACGGUGUGACGCCUGCCCGGUGCCGGAAGGUUAAUUGAUGGGGUUAGCGCAAGCGAAGCUCUUGAUCGAAGCCCCGGUAAACGGCGGCCGUAACUAUAACGGUCCUAAGGUAGCGAAAUUCCUUGUCGGGUAAGUUCCGACCUGCACGAAUGGCGUAAUGAUGGCCAGGCUGUCUCCACCCGAGACUCAGUGAAAUUGAACUCGCUGUGAAGAUGCAGUGUACCCGCGGCAAGACGGAAAGACCCCGUGAACCUUUACUAUAGCUUGACACUGAACAUUGAGCCUUGAUGUGUAGGAUAGGUGGGAGGCUUUGAAGUGUGGACGCCAGUCUGCAUGGAGCCGACCUUGAAAUACCACCCUUUAAUGUUUGAUGUUCUAACGUGGACCCGUAAUCCGGGUUGCGGACAGUGUCUGGUGGGUAGUUUGACUGGGGCGGUCUCCUCCUAAAGAGUAACGGAGGAGCACGAAGGUUGGCUAAUCCUGGUCGGACAUCAGGAGGUUAGUGCAAUGGCAUAAGCCAGCUUGACUGCGAGCGUGACGGCGCGAGCAGGUGCGAAAGCAGGUCAUAGUGAUCCGGUGGUUCUGAAUGGAAGGGCCAUCGCUCAACGGAUAAAAGGUACUCCGGGGAUAACAGGCUGAUACCGCCCAAGAGUUCAUAUCGACGGCGGUGUUUGGCACCUCGAUGUCGGCUCAUCACAUCCUGGGGCUGAAGUAGGUCCCAAGGGUAUGGCUGUUCGCCAUUUAAAGUGGUACGCGAGCUGGGUUUAGAACGUCGUGAGACAGUUCGGUCCCUA